rnacentral:rRNA from 1 species
UACGUAGGGACCAAGCGUUGUUCGGCUUUACUGGGCGUAAAGGGCGCGUAGGCGGCAAUUCAAGUCAGCUGUGAAAUCUCCGGGCUUAACCCGGAACGGCCAGCUGAUACUGCUUUGCUAGAGUGCGGAAGGGGCAAUCGGAAUUCUUGGUGUAGCGGUGAAAUGCGUAGAUAUCAAGAGGAACACCUGAGCUGAAGACGGGUUGCUGGGCCGUCACUGACGCUGAGGCGCGAAAGCCAGGGGAGCAAACGGG